rnacentral:rRNA from 1 species
GACGAACGCUGGCGGCGUGCUUAACACAUGCAAGUCGAACGGUGAAGCGUCUUCCUUUGUUGUGGGUGUGGUUGAGGGGCGAACGGGGGAUUAACACGUGAGUAACCUGCCCCCUUCUGGGGGAUAACCGCAUGAAAGUGUGGCUAAUACGCGAUCGUCCUGAUCUCUCGCUUGAGGGGUCUUGGAAAGAUGUUGCUACGGUUGGGGAUGGGCUCGCGGCCUAUCAGCGUGUUGGUGGGGUGGUGGCCAAGCAAGGAGGCGACGGGGAGCCGGCAUGAGAGAGUGGCCGGUCAGGCUGGGAAUGAGACACGGCCCAGACCCGUACGGGGGGGAGCGGUGGGGAACAUUGCAGAAUGGGGGCAAGCCUGAUGCAGCGACGUCGCGUGAGGGAGGGAGGCGGUCGGGUAGUGCAGCUAUUUCGCAAGUGAAGCAGUCCUGCGUAGUUUGUGGGUGGGUGGACGUUAGGUAGUAAGAAGCGCCGGCUAACUACGUG